UACAGAGGUCUCAAGCGUUGUUCGGAUUCAUUGGGCGUAAAGGGUGCGCAGGCGGCCGUGUGUGUGAGGCGUGAAAGCCCGGGGCUUAACCCCCGGGAAUUGCACCUCAAACUACAUGGCUAGAGCAUUGGAGAGGGGUAGCAGAAUUCAUGGUGUAGCAGUGAAAUGCGUAGAUAUCAAUGAGGAAUACCAGAGGCGAAGGCGGC
rnacentral:rRNA from 1 species